GCUGGGCUUGGGUAUCAUUUCCAGAAUAUGAUUAAAUAAGGAAGUGUCCAUGUGUAUGAGCCUGAAAUUGAUGGUUUUAAAUAUCUUAUCUGGCUGGGAUUCAUGUAAAAAGAAAUAUGCAGGCCACUGACUAAAACAGUGUGGCUAAUAUAAUAUGGGGAGAAGACAUGCAGGCAAAGUCACAUUCUUGCCAGUAGUUUGUCCUCAUUAACUGGCUUCGAUCACGUAACUAAUGCCGACAUAAUUGUGAAAAUUUUUGUUCAGAAUAUUCUCAUGACAGCCAAUAGGCACCUUAUAUUUUGUUAUAACAGCUGAAUUCUCACGUGCAAUGCACUGUGGCCAUGAACAACCUAAAGAAUGACAAUAAGCGAGGCACCUCUUUCCAUUAUCUGGCAGCGCAGCUGAAAACAGUUCAGUUAAUGAGUGGAAUCAUGGCCUGUACAAAAUAAAGAUCAGUGAGAUGGCCACUUAUAGCAUCCAACAUCCUACACCCACGAAUAAUAGGUAGCAGUAAGCUUGUUGGCAGA
rnacentral:lncRNA from 1 species